UUAUUGCUCUUGAACGAGGAAUCCCUAGUAAGCGCAAGUCAUCAGCUUGUGCUGAUUACGUCCCUGCCCUUUGUACACACCGCCCGUCGCUACUACCGAUUGAAUGGCUUAGUGAGGCCUUCGGAUUGGAUUCGGAGACUGGAAACAGACUCUGUUUCUGAAAAGUUGGUCAAUCUUGGUCAUUUAGAGGAAGUAAAAGUCGUAACAAGGUUUCCGUAGGUGAACCUGCGGAAGGAUCAUUACCAAUUUUCAGUGAGCCUGGACCUGUCCAUGAUCUCGCGAGAUAUUUGUAUUUAAAACCUACUCUUACAUAAUUAUAAAAAAGAUGUAUCAAUGAUUAAAAUAAGAUCACUUUCAACAACGGAUCUCUUGGCUCUCGCAUCGAUGAAGAACGUAGCGAAGUGCGAUAAGUAGUGUGAAUUGCAGAAUUCCGUGAAUCAUCGAAUCUUUGAACGCAAAUUGCACUCCCUGGCAUUCCGGGGAGUAUGCCUGUUUGAGGGUCAGUUUAAAUAAAAUCGAAGUGUCGCUCUUGUGAUACUUCGGAGUUGGGUCUUCUUAACCUGAAAGGUUAAGGGACUUGAAAUUGAGAUUUUGCGCAUCCUGACGUGUAUAAUUCGCUUAUCCGUUUUCGGAUGUAAAUUUAUUUAUUAGGUACUGUCAUUUCGCAUGAUCCUGUGCCUAUAAUUUCUCAUAAUUUGACCUCAAAUCAGGUAGGGACACCCGCUGAACUUAAGCAUAUCAAUAAGCGGAGGAA
rnacentral:rRNA from 1 species